rnacentral:rRNA from 2 species
AGAGUUUGAUCCUGGCUCAGGAUGAACGCUGACAGAAUGCUUAACACAUGCAAGUCUACUUGAUCCUUCGGGUGAUGGUGGCGGACGGGUGAGUAACGCGUAAAGAACUUGCCCUGCAGUCUGGGACAACAUUUGGAAACGAAUGCUAAUACCGGAUAUUAUGUGAGUUUCGCAUGAAAUUCAUAUGAAAGCUAUAUGCGCUGCAGGAGAGCUUUGCGUCCUAUUAGCUAGUUGGUGAGGUAACGGCUCACCAAGGCGAUGAUAGGUAGCCGGCCUGAGAGGGUGAACGGCCACAAGGGGACUGAGACACGGCCCUUACUCCUACGGGAGGCAGCAGUGGGGAAUAUUGGACAAUGGACCAAAAGUCUGAUCCAGCAAUUCUGUGUGCACGAUGAAGUUUUUCGGAAUGUAAAGUGCUUUCAGUUGGGACGAAGUAAGUGACGGUACCAACAGAAGAAGCGACGGCUAAAUACGUGCCAGCAGCCGCGGUAAUACGUAUGUCGCAAGCGUUAUCCGGAUUUAUUGGGCGUAAAGCGCGUCUAGGCGGUUUGGUAAGUCUGAUGUGAAAAUGCGGGGCUCAACUCCGUAUUGCGUUGGAAACUGCCAAACUAGAGUACUGGAGAGGUGGGCGGAACUACAAGUGUAGAGGUGAAAUUCGUAGAUAUUUGUAGGAAUGCCGAUGGGGAAGCCAGCCCACUGGACAGAUACUGACGCUAAAGCGCGAAAGCGUGGGUAGCAAACAGGAUUAGAUACCCUGGUAGUCCACGC